UGGUAGGGCGUACGGGUUACGAUCCCGUCUCUCCAUCUUGAAAGGAUGGCGACCUCACCAGAAGUCAAACGCCCC
rnacentral:tRNA from 1 species